AUGCGUGCAUUGAGGUUGUGUUUUGAGGCAUAAAUAAUGGAUGAAAGAUAGACAAAAACACCAUGCUAUUCUUUCAUUUCUUGGGAAGGAAACACACAACCAGAGAAUUAUCUGACAAAAAAGUAUAAAAAUUAAUUAAUUUCUUAGAAUAUAUUUUUAAUAUACCAUUUAACUAUGUCCAAGAUCAACAAUAGUGGCCUUGUAAAAAUACCUGUUUUCCAAAAUAUUUUGGAAAUGUAAGUAUUAUGUAAUCAAUAAGGGGCAUUGCUUGGUGCAAUAAUAAAAGGAUUGGGUUGACAAGUGUAAUGGCAUGGGUUCAGAUUUUGGAGCAGCCUCUUGGUGCAAAAAAAUUAUCAAAGGUUAUGUCAAUCCCCAGUCUGCCCACCAAGAAGCCUGAAUUGCUGGGACGGUAACUAGGUAAUGGCAAAAAUCAUAAUGCUAUUAGUGCAUUUCUUUUUAAGUUUCUGGUGUGCAACCAUCUAGAUCAAAAGUAAUAGGAUGAAUUAAAGCAAGAAUAUUGAGUAUUGUUUUUCUAUAUUUCUAUUACUUCGUUAAUAAUAGAUUCAUUUUGAUCAAACUUGGUUCCAAGGUUCGCGGUACCGAUGGUACCGACGUACCGGUCGGCUCCGGUAACGGUACCGGUGCCGAACCGAGCUGAACCGAUACCGUACCGAUGGGGCUAUUCGGCCUGGUUUCGACCCCAUAGUCGUUUUUCUUUUUUGGAGUUCUUUCACUUUUGGAUUUUUUUUGAUAUUUCUAUAUUUAGGUUUAAGGUUAAAAGUAGAUGAUGCAACUUAUUACUUCCAAAUGAUUCAAAUAAUGAGAUGAAGAAUAUAAAAUAUUUUCAAAUUAAGAUACAAUCAAUUACAUACAUUUAAAGCACUCUCGAAUAUCUAAAAAUCGGGUUGAGUGACACUUUGAAAAAGUGCCCCAGUAUGGCACUUUUGAAAGUGCCAGCCUCUGGCCAGCGCUGUGGCAUUUUCAAAGUGCCACAGCGCUGGCACUAUUUUUCAGAAGCGAACCGGUGCGAACCGAGCGGUUUGCACCGGUUCACACAUGUACCGGUGCGAACCGGGCUCGGUUCGCACCGGUACGAGGCUCAAACCAAACGGUUCCGACCCAUAUUGGGUCGGAACCGUUUUAUACCCCUGUACCGGACCGGUGCGGCUCGGUACCGGUCCGGUACGGGCUGAACCGACCGGUACAGGUCGGUUCAGCAGACCUUGCUUGGUUCUUCGUGUACAAUCUAUUGUAGCAACCAUCUAAACUUGACUCUAAGAUUGCCGUAUGAUCUUAACGAGAUCAAACAUUUGCUAAUAUAAUUUUGUAAAACACCAUAUUCUUUGCAAGAUUGAAAAAAGGUAGAUAGAGAAAGAGUCUUUACAUGGCGACUCUUUUCCUUUCCAAUUCCACAUUUGUCAUAUGGCUCAAAGAUUCGUCAACUCCCAUGAUUGGCAGCAAAUGUUCAUGGGUCAGAGUAUAAAAGCUUUGUGGUGACUACUUGUAUUGGCAGACAAGUAUAAUCAAAUUUGUACACAAGGUGACAUAAACUCCACUAGAGAACUAAGGAAAAGAAAUAGCGUGUGUGCUACAAUAUGAAAACAGCUAUUUUAAACAUCAAAUAGAUGAUGUAGGACAGUCUCUGAACGGGACCUAUAUUAGGGUUUAAGAAAAAAAUUAACUAACAAAUUUCUGAAAAAUUAAUUAUGAUCUAAAUGUUAGUUAAAAUUAAAGUAUGAGGGUCGAAAUUUCAAUUCAAAAUUGAUAGUAGAUGACAAUGAUGAAUCUAAAAAUAUAUGAAUCUGAUGAUCAAUUAGGAAAUGGGAGGGUUUCAGAGUGCUUAGAAAUACAUUAAGUGCCUUAUUGUCCAUUCAGGUCCAGGUCUGGAUUUUUUUGGUUACAGGUCCAAGUCUGGGUUUUAUGUGGUGUGCGACUGCAUAAGAUUAUACUCACAGGAUAUGAGCUGUAAGAUUAAAUCUUGCAGGAAAGCUGACUGCAAAUAAAUAGAACUAAGUUCAAGAAUUGAUGCGAUGAUGCUUGGAAGGAAAACAAGGGAAGAAGAACCAGAUGUAGAGGAAAAAAAGGGAAAUGGAAAGUUAACACAAGAAUAAACGAAAGAGGAAAGAUGCCACUGGACUCCUGAGAUCUAGAAUCACACCUAGGAUUUGAAGGUCUCACAUCUCCAAUACACAGAAUCCAAAAGCCCUAUUUCUUACAAAAAGAAGCCCUUACAGUUUACUUAAUUCCAAAAUUAACCCUAUGUGUGGUGCAUGGUUACUGUAGAAUGAAUAGUACCAUGACAAAAAUUAUGCCCAUCAAGCUGUUAAAUAAGAUCUGGGAUUUUUGUUGAUCUCCACCCUCAAUUCAAAUAACCGACUAGAAACUAAAAAUAACUAGUUAUGAAAGAACAAAAUUACAGCAAGUGAACUAAGAUUACAUCUAAGAGAAAUCCCUGCAGCCAGUUGGUGCAUCAUGACAAUGAACUCGCAUGUCCAUCGAUGGACUUGCUGAAUUUGGAAACAUAUAUAUGUAAUUAGCAAAAUGCAAUGGAAGAUUCACCCCAACCACACACAUUGUACAGAAAGCAUAAAUAAAGAUCAUCACUGGAUACCAAGGAAGAGUUGGAUGAAGGUAAGAGGAAUGAUUUAAAGGGAUUUACUUCUAAACACUUCAAUAGCUAUCAAUCAAAAGGUAGAAUCCCAUUAGCUGACCAAAAAGAAGGGAAUAGUGUUUGAAUGAAAUUGUUGGCGUACUUAGUCGCAAACUCGUGAUACAGUUAUAACGAUAAUACAAGAAUCCAGUUCUUUGCUUUAUCCAAAAGCUGUGAAUAAGCUAUACCACAACUGCCAAAAUGGUUGAUUAGAAGCAAGCAUUAAUAUCAUAUACUAAAUAUUUUUUCAUUGUUAUUCAUACUUUCAUGAUCUAGAAUAUACUAGAACAUUUAAUACUUGAGUAAUAUCUCAAAUUCACAUUAACUUACUUGGCAAUCCAUUCUAUCAGUAAUUCCACCAUGUCCAGGGAUGCUAUCACCGAAAUCCUAAAAUUAUUGAAAAGAAAAAAGAUGUCAUCAUUUUUCCAAUUCUCUAAAAUAUUCAGUCCUACAGUUAAAAAACGAGCACCUUAAAUUUAAAUGCCCUUUUGAAACCACUUGCAAAAAAACCUCCAAAUGGUGCUAUUAUUGAUGCAAAUAGACCAAGAGCGAGAGCAUGCCACUGCACAGGCAGAAUUGGUACUUCUUUCCAGGGAAACUGCAGGAAGAACAGGGGCAUAUUAGAUAUAAAUUGAAAAGGAGAAUCAAAUUAACUAAUACUAUAAGAAAAAGAAUCAUCUAUAAACUAAAGAGAGCAGAUCAAAUAGGUUUAAAGCAUAAAAAACUGCUUACAAAUAUCAUAAUGACAUGUCAACCAAUGACGUGGGACUUUUCUAGAAUUUCUGAAAUACACUCCAUAUUUAAGACCAAGAGGAGAAAAAGAACCAUCCAUUUAGCAAGAACAGAAUGGACGCAGCACUAAAAAUUAGUUCCAUCAUGACUUUCUUUUGCAUUUAAAAAAAGGUUAAGAAUAUUCAUGACAAAAAAAGAUGAGAAAAUUGCCCUUUCAUCCAACAAAAAAAAAUCUAUUUUAAGCAAAUUUGAAAUGAAGAUAAAUUUAUACAAUGAAAUCAAUUUUAAGUUUUAGAGUUCUCACCCAUUCAGGCACCCAUACCGGCAAAGGAUAAUAUUCUGGUUUAAACAUUGGCCCAGGAUCACAGUGAAGCCAUACCGUAGACAAGUCCUAUAAGCAUUCCAACUCUGAGAUUCAGAUAACCAACAACAUCGGAUACUGAAAUCAUUAAUGAUUACAUAGGAAAAGGUUACCUUUCUUGGGCAUGUUAGCCACCGGAAGCGACCCAUUAGAUUUGCUAGCUGCACAAAGCAUAUAGAACAGAUUUGUGAUUUAGAAUAUAUCAGAGUACAUAAAAAUGGGGUGGUUUAGUAUGGAUGUAUCUAUAUAAAGCUGAUCUGUUCAAAAACAUAUCAUAAUAAGCGGAAAACACACACAUAAUAAGAAGAAAAACACACAUAAGCUUAAAAAGGCAUCAUAAACUAUUAACGUGCACCUACAUGUUUACACAUUUGCACCAUUAUUCAAGGAAAAAAAAAGCUAAACAAAUGGCAAGAACUGCCCAAGUGCAGGACCCAGAAAAAAGGGAGAGGCUAAAAUACCAAUCAAUGCGAAAACAUAUGCUACUGAAGGGCUGAUACAAAUUUAUGCACCUUAAUGUGGAGUUGUUGUUUAUUGAGUUUCCUGGAUUCACAUUAUACGUCGGGGUUUAUAUUGAAAUGCUGUAAAAGUUUUUUAAGCAUUUUCUUAAGUUUUAGAUUUUCUUUAUUGAAAAAAUUAUUUUCCUUGCAGAUUACCUUCAACUAUUUAUGACCAUAAUGACUGAUUCCAGGUGCUAAUUUGCUAAAAUAAUUUUUUUUUUCCUCAAAGAGGAUGGUUUUGAAUUUCAGCAUUUGUCUAUAAUGUGUUAUGAACAGACAAGGAUAUUUCAUUCAGUUUGUAUUUAGUUUUAGCAAUAUUUGAAUGGUUAUGGAUAAAUGAUAAAAGAAGUUUGAACAGUUCAGGGUAGCAUAUUUUGAAGUUUGUAUGAUCAUCAUUAGGUCUAAUGAUAAAAGUAUAUAAGAUGUCCAAGAUAUGCUGUAUAGUGAACCAAGCUGCAGCGAGAGAAUAGGGAAAGGAAAUGUCCACUCUAUUUGACAGAUUAAAUGCAAAUCAAACCUAAGUUCAAGUACCAACUUGCAACUGCUGAAAUUCUUUGUUUCUGCAACUGUUAAUAAAACUGUCCAAGCAUUUGCUCCAAUAAUAGGAAAAAGGAAAAUGUACAGAAAAUAAACAGUAUAACAGAGGUUUGUACGUCAACCACAAACAUAAACAUUAAUGAAUGAAUUUUAGAUAGUGAUAUUCAUCAGCGCUAGUACCAGAACAGCCUGUCCGCACAUAGCAAAGAGGCAAUUGGACUUCUCACUUGGAGUGGAAGAACCAAAUGACUAACGACAUAAUUAACAGACAAAGUUACAAACCUUUCUGCUGAGACGUAUAUCAUAGAGCUCAUACAGGUUUACUUUUUUCUCUUCAUGCUUGUUUUUUAUGUCAAUCUUUAUCACUUCCCCUUUAUUUUUAUUGAUUAGAAUGUUUCAGUAAGGCCAUAACAAGCCAGCUCUAUCUUCAUAUAUAGUAAUGGUUUCAACGAAAGGGCACAAGCCAUACAAUCAUUGGGGACCUUACAAUCCAGGGGGAGUAAGAGAGCCUCAUGAAAAAAAUGAUCUGAUCUUCCAAUUUAGAGAAAGCUCCAGUGACACUUGUAAGAACCAUUACCCUUUACUCAAUCAGACACAUCACAUGGUUAUCAGUUUUCUUUGUUUUUUUCCGUUUUUGGAUUUAAUCAUGGACCAGGAAAGUUUGUAGAGCAUGCAACAACCAGCAUUAGAUUAUCAAUGAUGCAUGCUAUACCAUGAAAGUAAUAAAAGGAUUGAUUCAUACUUCAUGACUUUUCCCUGGGAGAUGUUCUCUACAAGAGACAGUGCUCAGUAACACUUUGGACUUGUGUAAGAAUGAUAACAUAGAUGCAUUGCUUAACUGGAUAAAUAGCUCCAGUGGAUUCUGGACUUUGUCAAAUUUGAAAGCAUUCUUUCAAGCUUAAUAUAAAUUAACCACUAAAAUUACCAAAGAACUCUGUACGAAUGACAAUACAACCUUCAUCAAAUUCGGAUACUUCUGGUCAUUACUAUAAGAAUAGAAAAAAAGGAGUUUGACAAAUUUGAAGGCGACUUCUUUCAAAAUCAACAUAAAUUAAUCAACAAAAUUGCCAACUUCUCUAUAUGGAUUGCAAGAUAUAACCUUUAUUACAUUGGGAUGUUUCAGGACAUUAGAAUAAGAAUACAGGGGGGGAAAAAUCAUACAUUAGAGUGCAGGUUAUUUACAUAAAAUAAAAUCACAGGUCACAAUUAUCAAUGAAAAUCAAGUAAAGCAUGCUUAAAGAUCAAACAUAAGGUCACACGUCUGCCUGGUGAAACUGUCUUUGCCGCAACAUAAAUGUACAGAAAAGAAGUCUGAUAACUAAAAACAUUCUAAAGACAAUUACCAUUUUGCUUCACAAGACAACAAAAUCUUCUACAACAUUCAUGAUCAGUAAUUCGAAAGAGUUGUCAGCCGAAAAAAACAACAGUAUCUAUUUCCAAGAAAAUCACAAGAAGCAAUAAUAGAACAGGAAUAGAAUCUGCUGACUUCAUGUGUGCCUUGCACGUGCACAUGUGUGUGUGCGUGAGAGAGAGAGAGAGAGAGAGAGAGAGAGAGAGAGANNNNNNNNNNNNNNNNNNNNGAGAGAGAGAGAGAGAGAGAGAGAGAGAGAGAGAGAGAGAUUCGAUGUGCUUGGCUAGCUAAUAAAAUGUAAGCACAAACUUUUACUUUAACACGAAACAGUCCUUGGGCAAGAAAAUACUGGCCUCUUCUACAGAUGCAGGCACACAUCACCAACUUGUGCAACAGAAAUAACUUUCCAUAACUUGUGGACAGCAGUAAGGCAAAGAGCAAUUUUCUUGGGUCAAAAAAUUCAUAAAAUGGAAACGAGAAAAGAAAGCCAAGAAGAGAGGGUGAGUAGUAUGUCAGUCGUCUUCAUCUUGCAAAGUUUCAAAUGACAGAUUCUAUGGAUAUUUCAGUUUUAAAUAAAAUUAUAUCCCAAGGUCCGCCGUACCGGUACCGGUCGGCGUACCGGUGGCCGGCCGGACCGGUACGGUACCGGUCCGGUCCGUACCGGCCGGUUCGCACCGGUACGAGGCCCGAACCGGCCGGUACGGGCUCCGAACCGGCCGGUACGGGCCCGUACCGGCCGGUACGGAUAAAAAACCGAGAAAUACCGGUUUUUUAUCCGUUCCGGUACCGGUCUAGGUCCGGACCGGUACGUACCGGCCCGUACCGGCCGGUACGGGCCGGUACGGCAUUCCAUGUUAUAUCCAUUAUGCUUCACAUGAUUCUUGCAGAACAAUGUUGAUCAUAUAAUUUUUAUUGCAGGAAAUCACAUGCACCCAAACCACAGAUGCAUGUCUCUCAAAAUCCUCUGCCCUUCCUGGUUCUUUUGAUCAUAGUUGAACCCAGAAAAUGUGUCUACAAAUCAUACUUUAUGUGCAAUUAAUGGGGAUCACUCUCAUCGAUUCAAAACCCAAAGAAUCAGAAGAAAAGGUGUACAGGAACAGUGCAGUAUGUCAGCACAAGCGCACAUUUGGAGUGGAGACGUGCAUCAUUAUUGACUAUUGAGUGGGCUGAAAUUAAAGAAAAAACAACAUUAAAAUUCAUGUGGAUAUCUUUUAAGUAGUACCCAGCUCCCCACCCCAACCCCCCCAAAAAAGCAUGCAGUUUUAACAAGGAGAAGAAAAUGAAGGAGCAGCUCCCUUGAAACAGCAAGAGAUGAGAAAUUCAAAUUCAGUAGCAACAGCGCAAGUGUUCAUACUUGAAUGAAGAGAGUAGAGAUAGGAAAAAAUAUUCUGGCAUAUAUAUCAAAUGGAGGCAAAAAUUCAAACCACCAAUCUUGUAAAAUUGAUUAACAUAUAUAUAAGGGCAUGCUGAUGGUUAUUCAGCUAAUUCCAGCUUUUGCAAACAAGAGAACAAUUAGAUGACUAUAUGAACUUAGCUUACUGUACAUCCAGCUCUCCUGUUUGCAGCACAGCUCAAUAGCAGGCUGGUUUGGAAUUUCAAAUUUCAAGUAAUUUCCAAGCCAAGGAUCGCAUGUGGUAGUAGUUGUGUCUUGGCAUAAUAUUUUUUUAUAAAUUUUACAACAAAUAUUGAAUAAGUUUAUGGUCAGGUUUCGGAGGACUAGUGCUUGCUUUCUGAUAGUUGGAGAGCUCUCCUUGUAAUAACAAUGAAAAGAAAGGAAAAAGGUACACACUAUCGGGAAAUGCUUAGUUGACACAAAAGGUAGAGAGUUAUAAUUCUCAACAACAGUGUACUAGCCAAAGCUGGCGUAGAUGUACAAAUAAAGAGAUCAUACCAGUGUGUGUGUGUGUCUAUAUAUGAGUAUAGAUAUAGUAUUUAGGAGAACAGACAUGAUUUAUAAUUUAGGAAAAAGUUCAGGAUGCUCACCACAAAAGCAGAGAACAUAGUUGUGACUAAUGCACCGAUGAAACCCUCCCAAGUUUUCUUUGGAGAGAGUUUGAUCAAA
rnacentral:lncRNA from 1 species